GUUCCUGUAGUUAAAGUUCUAUAACGGCGGCUUUUCAGGUUGCAGGUCUUGGAGAGAGUCCAAGUAGGAAUU
rnacentral:tRNA from 1 species